CCCUGCGGGUCUCCUCGACUCCUCCUCGGCCUUGUGCCGAAUCCGCUGACCGCGGCCUCUCUGAACUCGUCGUUCACCUGCACUGCAGCGGGUUCCCUGCUCCCUCACCGUGGUCUCCCUCGACUGAUCAUGCGCGUUGCCUCACCAAAAGGAGGCGGGAAGAUUGGGGAGGAGGAGAAGGAGACGUGGGUCCCAGCCGUGCUCCUCGGCCACGUGGGGCCGUCGAGGGCGGCGGGGAGGCCAGCGGCAAGAGACAGGGAGGUAGGAGGCGGGGUUGGCGAGGAGGACGGGGAGGUCGGCGAGCUGUUCUGCUCCGCUCGGCGCCGUAGUAGUAGAUACUCCCUCCGUAUUUUAAUAUAUGACGCCAUUGACUUUUUAACCAACGUUUGACCAUUCGUUU
rnacentral:lncRNA from 1 species